GGGGAAUAUUGGAAAAUGGGCGAAAGCCUGAUCCAGUCAUGCCGCGUUUGUGAAGAAGGUCUUGGGAUUUUAAAGCACUUUAAGUUGGGAGGAGGGGUUGUGGAUUAAUACUAUGAAAUUUUGACGUUACGGAAGGAAUAGGAACCGGUGAACUUCGUGCCAGCAGCCGCGGUAAUACGAAGGGUGCAAGCGUUAAUCGGAAUUACUGGGCGUAAAGCGCGCGUAGGUGGUUCGUUAAGUUGGAUGUGAAAGCCCCGGGCUCAACCUGGGAACUGCAUCCAAAACUGGCGAGCUAGAGUACGGUAGAGGGUGGUGGAAUUUCCUGUGUAGCGGUGAAAUGCGUAGAUAUAGGAAGGAACACCAGUGGCGAAGGCGACCACCUGCACUGAUACUGACACUGAGGUGCGAAAGCGUGGGGAGCAAACA
rnacentral:rRNA from 1 species